rnacentral:rRNA from 1 species
AUUGAACGCUGGCGGCAGGCCUAACACAUGCAAGUCGAGCGGGGUUUUCGGACCUAGCGGCGGACGGGUGAGUAAUGCGUAGGAAGCUGCCCGAUAGAGGGGGAUACCAGUUGGAAACGACUGUUAAUACCGCAUAAUGUCUACGGACCAAAGUGUGGGACCUUCGGGCCACAUGCUAUCGGAUGCGCCUACGUGGGAUUAGCUAGUUGGUGAGGUAAUGGCUCACCAAGGCGACGAUCUCUAGCUGGUUUGAGAGGAAGAUCAGCCACACUGGAACUGAGAAACGGUCCAGACUCCUACGGGAGGCAGCAGUGGGGAAUAGUGGACAAUGGGCGCAAGCCUGAUCCAGCCAUGCCGCGUGUGUGAAGAAGGCCUUCGGGUUGUAAAGCACUUUCAGCGAGGAGGAAGGGGUGUGUGUUAAUAGUACACACCUUUGACGUUACUCGCAGAAGAAGCACCGGCUAACUCUGUGCCAGCAGCCGCCGUAACAC